CAGCAGCCGCGGUAAUACGAAGGGGGCUAGCGUUGUUCGGAAUUACUGGGCGUAAAGCGCACGUAGGCGGACAUUUAAGUCAGGGGUGAAAUCCCGGGGCUCAACCCCGGAACUGCCUUUGAUACUGGGUGUCUAGAGUAUGGAAGAGGUGAGUGGAAUUCCGAGUGUAGAGGUGAAAUUCGUAGAUAUUCGGAGGAACACCAGUGGCGAAGGCGGCUCACUGGUCCAUUACUGACGCUGAGGUGCGAAAGCGUGGGGAGCAAACAGGAUUAGAUACCCCAGUAGUCCCUGUCUCUUAUAC
rnacentral:rRNA from 1 species